UUUCGUAUAUUGUUUGCAUACCUUAAUAUGUUUUAUAUAAUUAUCCAUAUUUGUUGAAUAACUGAUUUGUUUGAUUGCAGAAAAUAAAGUCUUUGAAAUGAAAUGAAAUUGGUGGUGUCAACUUCAGACCAGAAUUAUCUGUGACCAUGGAUAAUCAAACAACUCCAAACCCUAUUUUAUUUAGGCCUAGAUCUAGAUGUAAACCUGGAACUUAUUAAUAAAAAUAUUCAAAAAACAACAACUAGGAUUUGUUUAUUUAAUGUUUAGAUUUUGUGUGGGUCCAGCAUGCUUGUCUAGUUGUCAUAACUCAUAUUCAUAAGGAGUCUAAAUUAAAGAUUUGUUUCCAAAUUGUGCAGUUCAUGUUGAUAAAUAUAUUUUUGUUGGACGUUGUAUAAGAAAUGACCCCUAGUCCACAAUUAUGUUUACUUAUCUGUAGUCCACCUCUUCUUGUUAUAAUAAACUAAUUCUACUUAGUACUUCUUCGUGCUCAUAGGCCAUAGAAAGCACUGUGUGAGGUACACGUUAAAUAUUCCAUUAGUUUUACUUUGUACUGUGGUUCAUUAAAUAGGAAUGUUGAUUUCCACACCAUGUUAAAUUUAAGGCCAACCAUGACAUAAAAAAUAGCUAUUAUGCUUGAUCUAUUUUAUUGUUAAGGAGAAAGGGAUGCCUUGAUUAUUGUAUUGGUUUUUUCCUUCUUUUUGUUCCAACAGAUUGAAAUUAAAGAGCUGAAAGAAGUUAACAACAUGAAGCAGAAAGUCCCAUGCAGGAUGAUGCUUCUCUACAGUGGGUGAUGAAGGCAUGCUGGUUUACAAACUCAGGAGAGGAACAAAGAAGAGAUAUUGACGGGAUCAUAUCUAGAGAUGCGGGCCUACUACACUUCAUACGAGCAAGUGUGCUAAUAUACAUACUUGGGUUAUCACUA